GCACACGCAACAGUUAGGGGGGACCGCACACGUAUCUGGACACUGACAAGGACCCGUAGAGACAGUUUAACAAAUCGUAACUAGUAUUUAUAGGGUGCUCAGUGGGGGUCCAGAGCUUUACCUUAACUACCUCAGGUAAUCGUUACAAUAACUCUGUGUGGUGUCCUGUUAUUACUGGCAUUUUACAAGCGGGAAACUGAGGCGUGAAGGAGGAGAUCAUCCCCUGUUUUCAUCCUCCCAGUGAAUGAUACCACUAAAGCCUGGAGUUUUGGGGCUAUCCUGUGUGGCAUGGGGGAUCUUAGUUCCCCAACCAGGGAUCAAACCUAUGCCCCCUGCAUUGGGAGCACAGAGUCUUAACCACUGGAGUGCCAGGGAAGUAAGUCCCCUAUAGCGCUUUUUUGGUUGUUGUUGAAUUUUAUUUUAUUUAUUUUUUGUACGGCAGGUUCUUAUUAGUUACCUAUUUUAUACAUAUUAGUGUAUAUAUGUCAAUCCCAAUCUCCCAGUUCAUCACACCCCCAACCCCACCCCCAUAGCCCUUUUAAAAUUAGUGUGUCAUUUAAGAAUGUUUAUAUCAUGUAAAUCGUAUCUCUGAUAAGGGGUUAACAUCCAGAAUAUAUAAAGAACUCCCACAACUCAUCAAAAAACCCAAACAACACAGUUUAAAAAUGGGCAAAGGACUUGAAUAGACAUUUCUCCAGAGAAGAAAUACAAAUGUCCAAUAAGCACAUGAAAAGAUGUGCUUUUAUAUCAUUAACAUUAGAGAAAUGCAAAUAAAAACCACAAUGAAAUUCUAACACAUCGACUGGGACAGCUAUUAUAAAAAUAAACAAAACACAGAAGAUAGCAGCUGUUGACUAGGAUGUGGAGAAAUUGGAAUCCUUUUGAAUAACUGGUGGAAUGUAAAAUGUUGCAGGCCCUCAAACCAAAAGACGUAGGGACUUCCCUGGUGGCGCAACGGUUAAGAAUCCGUCUGCCAAUGCAUGGGACACAGGUUCAAUCCCUGGUCCAGGAAGAUCCCACAUGCUGUGGAGCAACUAAGCCCGUGAGCCACAACUACUGAGCCCACUCACCACAACUCCAGAAGUCCGUGCACACUAGGGCCCACGUGCCGCAACUACUGAACCCACAUGCUGCAACUGCUAAAACCUGCAUGCCUAGAGUCCGUGCCCCGCAACAAGAGAAGCCACUGCAAUGAGAAGCCUGUGCACCGCAACGAAGAGUAGCCCUCCACUCAGCUCAACUAGAGAAAGCCCGUGCACAGCAGUGAAGACCCAAUGCAGCCAAAAAAAA